AGCCCCGCCCCGGCCCGGAGCUGCGCGCGCCGCGGGGAGGGCGCGGGCCGGGCGGCGCCGGGCGAAAAGAGGCGCGCGCGGGACCUCGCUCGUCGCCCUCCCCCCCCCGGGCUGGGGCGCGGGGGUCCCCGCUUUGCUUUUCGCCCCCGGGCUGCCCCCGCCGCCGGGAAGAGCCGAGCCGAGCCGAGCCGAGCCGCGCGGGUGGGUGGGUGAGAGCGGGCAGCCCCCGAGGCUCUGGGGGUCCCGCCUGCCCCGCCCUGCCCCGGCGGUGUGAGGCCGAGCCGGCCCCGCGUGGGUGUCCAGGCUGCUAAGACCACAUCCAUUCCCGGUGCGAGUCCUGCUCAAGCGCCUGGGCCGCCCCAGCAAAGCCAUCGCCCUCUCGGCCUCGCUCGCCCGCCUCGCCGCCCUGGGCUUGUGCCUGGCCCGACUCCAGAGCUGGACCUGGGCCUCGCGCGCCUUGCACACGCGGCCCGGUCUCUGCCAGGGUGCAAAUUGUGUCCUGAGAUUUAAUGUCUGUAAAGUGCUUUUUUGAAGAUUGAAAGUCAGACAUGAGAGUCGGGUACUCCUGCGUGAGCGUGACCGACAGCCUUCCCUGCGAGGUGGAUGUACAAAGAGCUGUGAGCUCCUCUCUAGGGACGACUGUAUACCUCCAGGCAUCGCCUCCAGGGAUGUUUGCCCACAACCCCUGAACAGAAGCCCUCCUCAUUCUAUGUAUGACCUAAAAGUGUGCCCCAAAUCAGAUUGGCUACAUUUGUAGCAACUGUAAUUGCAACAACAAAAUGGCCACGGAAGAAAAUGGAAACAAGAUUAUAUAGAAAGAGGCCCUGCAUUGAGCAAAAUGCUUUAAAGCAUGUGCUGACAGUUAAGUACCUGCCCACCUGCACUGCUUAACUGCAGCCUCAGUAAUCAGAGCCUCUGCUCCAGAUCUGCAGGAGGAAAUGCUAUAAAAAGAGCCAUGCCCAGAGCCAUGUAUGAAAGCAGAGAAUCCUACUCCUUUCACCUCUGCCACAUUCACAGGCCCCUACAGCAGCCACCAUACCCACCCCAGACUCCAUGAGACCUCAUGGGGUGGGUUAACAGCCCCCUGGCACAGAGUGAUCACAGAAUGGGAGAGACAGAAACAUGUUUUAAACCUGAGUGAGCAGACCAUACAUCACACCUAGGCCUGAAAGGUUGAGGGUGACUGGAGCAUUCAGCCAUGUAGGGCACUAGCCUGUUUCACAAGUAUCCAGGACAAAAUACCUAAGCAGAGGAUUUGUGCUCAUCACUGAUGCCACUGCAGCGAUUCCCAAACUUGUCCAUGGACCCCAGAGCACUUUCUGCACCUAUGGAGAGCGGCACGGUCACGUGGGGAUGGCUUCUUGUCCAUGUUCCCUGUUGCAUCACAUGUAAAAAUGCUACAAACUUCACCUUCUUCCCCAUGUUGCUUUCCCCAGGGAUGCUUUGAGAUCUGAAAUGAAGGUAAUUCUAGACAGAGGAUGGGUACUCUGUGCUAAAGAGCAGAGGAAGUGUCAGCAUGAUUACCAAUGGCAGAACAGGGGUUCACAUGGCAACUUCUCCACUGCUGCUCCUCUGCCAGAAUUUGAGAAACCUGGAGCUCCAAGAUCUCUCACUUGCAGGCACAAAGAGUCACUGCCUGCAGAUGGCACUGUUGCUCCUUACAAAAUCAACUGCACAUGCUCAUUCAUGUGGUUCAGGGCUUCUCCAGCAUCUCCCGUGACUGUACGUAUUGUACAUCUGUGUCUGAGUCAGCACGUUAGGUUUCCUAGAAUCUUUGCACAUGUAACUCAGGAGGUUGCUGCCGGCCAACUCUUCAAAUCUGCCUCCAUAUUUAUGCUUCAUUUACAUAAAUGAGAACUCCUGUUAGAAAUUACAGAGCUGAGUGAAGAGGUUAAUCAUAAAGAUCAUAGAAGAGUAGGGCUGGCAUGGACUUCAGGUCAUCUAGCCCAAUCCACUGCUCAAAGCAGGAUCAUCCCUAUCUAAGUAUGCCAAAGAGAAAGGCUGUUAACCCCUCAGUUUAUUGUUGCAGCUCUGACUUGGGGGCGGCCAUCUGUGCAUAGAGGCUGUAUACCAGGAGAGAUGUUUGAACGGUCCUCUUCUGAAAAUCAGGGAAGUUAGACCUUGACCCUGUACAGACUUAACUAAACAUCUCAGUGAGCUCAAUGGGGCUAUUCACUGAUGUCCCCUAAAAUUAAACGUGUGCAAGCCUGCAGAACUGAUGGGCAAUCUCCCACAAAAACUUCAGGUUAGCUGUUCAUAGCCCAGCCCCACUGUUGUCAAACUGAAAGUAUGCCUCCCCCAGAUUGACUUGAUUAGGAAAUUACAAGGAGAGGGCUGCUCAUUAAAGACCAGGCUAUAAAAGCUGUGGUAGCUGUAUCAGUAGAUUAAGUAUGGUGCUCAAGAAAUCUUCUGUAGUAGAAAAAGGAUUUUAGAAGAGUGAGUGACUCUUGGAAGGCUCUACAAUGUCAUCCAUCCACAGAAGCAAUGCCAGUAUCAUGACACUAAAGGAAAUCAUGGAACUUGGAUUUGUGGCAGGUGUCUCCAGCUAUACCUACUCAUCUCCAGUUAAUAACUACACAGAAACUAACAGUACCUCUAAGCCAGAUGGUUGGGAUGGUCUCCUUGACUUGGAAAGCAUGAUGAUGAUAAAAGGCAGUCCUCAGCAUACUUUCACAAGACCCGAGUCCUCUCUGACCAGCAGUAUGAAGGGUGAAUUGCACAGUCAGAUCCAAGGCAUUUGUGAUGGUGGCCUUGCUUCCUUCUGCAAGACCCCGAGUGGUCAUGUUGCCUUUGACUUGUCCAAUCUGGUUUCUGAAUACAGCAGAGUCGAUUACACUGUGGAUAUAUAUUAUGAUACUAAGUCCUCUACACCAUGCAGGGAAGAGAAGUGCCUCCAGUCAAUGGAGAACUUGCUCUCCAAGAGCUCAGAGACGGUAAUUGAUUUGUCAAAUAUCAGGAGGCCACCCCCACCUAUAUUGGAAAUAUCUGAGAUACAAGCCCCUCUGGACAAUAUUCUGUCCCUUGAUGUGAGUGCUGAAGAGCCAAGAUCACUGGGAUUUGUGAAAACAGAUGCCUUAUCUCUGGAGACGUCUUCCUCUGCUAUUAUUUUGCCUUGGGCUGCUACUAGCAAAAGACACUGUAUUCCUGCCUUGGUGUCUAUUUGUUAUGAUAAGUGAGCCAGAGCCUGUAGCUGUGGUUCUGUCUCAACACCUAUGAUUCUACAUUGUAGAGCAAAGCUAUGAUGAAUGCACCAGAAGAGUUUCUACUUCCAUUAUCAGAGUUUUUAGCGUUGACUCUGUUUUGCCUUUGACCAUCAGUUGCUGUGUUUUUGAAGCUGGCUUGCAUCUCCACAGCUGCCACUCCUUCUCCCCACCACUAGCUCAAAAUCUAGAGAGAUGGACUAGCCGAGUACAACCUAUGACACAUCAGUGUGUAUUUGCAGCAUGCAAAGAGGCUAGUACUUAAAGCUAAAUUACUGCACUGAACUGUAGGGAUGCUUGUGUUUGGACAAACACUAAUUUUGGUCUAUAGUUGUCUAUAUAGUAAUGAAUUACUGGAGGUUUGUCAGAUUUGAUUAUAAUGGCUCUGAGUAACUUUGUUUACUGAAUAAAGCACUACUGUCACUUGAA